CCAUCUGAAUCCACGUAGCAUGGAGUACCUGAAAAACCAAAAUGCAACCAGGCUGUCAUCUUAUAAAUCCAAAGAUAAGGGUGUGGUCAGAGGCUGACGGACGGACCCUCAGCAGUGAAUCCGAGCCAGGACAGGUGGGACUUGUGAGACAGAGGGAGGGGUUCUCCGUGGAUGAGCUGCCUCUUCUUUUGACCCAACUGCAGCAGCUGGACACCCAGAGCCUGUUCCCCAUCGAAACCCGGAGCUGAGAACGUAAAAUGAGACACAUGCAACGAAAGACCUCGUCAAAGCCUGAAGAUCACAAAAGAAUCUCUUGCUGUUAACGUCCCACACCGUCAGUGAACCCCCGACGCUGCCGGCUGCCAGGAACUGCCCACAUGGAGACCAGGCCACCACGUUGAUC